UGUGAUUAUGAUCUUCAGGCUUUGCCUAACCAGGUGGGCUUACUUUUACUAUACGUAUAUAGAGAUCCCCUGCGUGUCGUAGGCCUCUUAUACGAAUAUAUGCAUGAGAUGAUUUUAACUGUUAAUUUCAGUUUAUUAUUAUGCCCAAAUGAUAAAUGACUCUUAUGAAAUAAAAAUGAAAUGUUUAUGAAAUGAAAUGAAAUGUUUAUGAAAUGAUUGACUGCCAAAAAUGUUUUAUGUUUUUUAUAUGUAUCCUAUCUGUGUUGGUUUCGCCAACUUUAAAGGAAAUCCAAUUGGGAUCCUAUGCUAGACAAAGGUCGCUAGCUAGGGUUAACGUGUACACUCAUGGAGACCGCGAGUCGCUUGCGACCGGUCUUGGCGUCCGUGGUAAGGAGGCCUCCUUCCCGGCGCGUGAUAGAAAGGAACAGAUAUGGAUCAUAUGAAGGAAAAUGAUCGGCCGAUCGACUUUAUGAAAAUGAAAGAAAUAUUUUAGUAAGCACAUGUCAUUUAAGAAAACCCAUGUGUGUUACUGUUAUGGCAGUUCAAUUUAUAUAUGUAUGCAUGAUUGUAUUUUCGGCUAUGCCCACUGAGUAUUUUUAUACUCAGCCCUGCAUGUAUUUCUAAAUGUGCAGGUUGAGCAGUUGAUGGAAUGGAAUGAUGUUGAGCGGGUGUUCCUUUGACAUUUCAAGAAAUGUAACCUUGAGUAUACAUCUUCAUAUGUAUAUCUCACACGUUUUCCGCUGCAAAACACUUUGAUUAGGAUAACUCUAUGUUAUGAAGUUGUGACACGUGUUAUUGGGUAACCCACCUUAAUCAGUUCUCCUUUAUGUGUAUGUGUUAUAAGUAUCCAAAUGAUCAUAUAUGAUCCUAGCUUUUUAUUUAUGAGUGACAUUUCCAUAUACUUUAAUGUUAAGUAAUUGUCCAUUUCCAUUUCUUAUUGUUCACCCCAAGUCAUAACCCCGGUUAA
rnacentral:lncRNA from 1 species